rnacentral:rRNA from 1 species
UACGUAGGUGGCAAGCGUUGUCCGGAAUUAUUGGGCGUAAAGCGCGCGCAGGCGGUCCUUUAAGUCUGAUGUGAAAGCCCACGGCUCGACCGUGGAGGGUCAUUGGAAACUGGGGGACUUGAGUGCAGAAGAGGAGAGUGGAAUUCCACGUGUAGCGGUGAAAUGCGUAGAGAUGUGGAGGAACACCAGUGGCGAAGGCGACUCUCUGGUCUGUAACUGACGCUGAGGCGCGAAAGCGUGGGGAGCAAACAGG